ensembl:lncRNA
AUGAUCCAUAGACAGCUUCCAUCACACUGGUUACUGUUAUUAUCACUUUUGUUUCUGAUAUUCCUGCUCCAGGGCGAUCUUCAGGUUCCAACCCUGGAGCUUUCAUGCCUUCAGGAGGAAGAGUGCCUGAGAAGCAUGCUGUCUUUGCGAUCUAGAACAAACUUUGUCCUUUCUAGAAUAGGAGGAGACAACAAGGCGAGUCUGAAACUGAAAGGGAAGGUCUGCGUGUUGAGGCUGGUUGUCCAAGGUCAGUCGGUAUAUGUAGUAGCAGGCGCCAGCACCGACCACCAGACCCGCUGCUAUCAAGCCCAAAUUCUGAGUACAGCCCAUGCUGCAGAUGGUGCGACCGUCUCCUGGAGCUCCGUUAGGCUCGCGAGCGCCCUGGGAGCGGGAGUUUGAGGCUGAAGUGAAGCUGGAUCUAGGAGAGGGAGUGUUGGGGUGGGGGGUGGGGACGGGAGGGAGGAAGGAAAUGAGGCUUUGGGCUUCUCCUUCUGCAUCGCCCGGCCACCGGGGACAGACGGAGCGGCAGACACAGCAGACCCAAUCGAGAACCAGGUAGGAAGAAACGCGGCUCAGCGUCCAGACUGCCAGGCCUGGAUCUCACAGUCCCCCCACGGCUCCCUCUUCACCGCUUCCUCCCCGCCUCCUUCUCAAAUCAUGGACGCCAAACAGUGCUGCUGCCGCCACUGCCCUGCCUUGUGCCAGGCGCGAAUGCCAAACAGGCUGAGUUCGUUCGCGUGUCCCCAUGGGGAAAAACAAGCGCCUUCAAACUUGAAAAAUCGUGCUAGUAUCCGCUACCCCGAGGAGUUUCCAACCUACACCCACCCUCACGCCGACCCACAGGGAUCGCGGCCAGUGGUUGCCGCCUCCUCCUCCCCUACCCUUUCUCCCCCUCCUUCUGCCUUGGCCAAAGUCACGCCGCCGCCAAAGAAACAGGGAGCUGGUACCUGAGCAGAAACCGCUAUCUGGAUCCAGACUUGAGCGCCUCAGCUCCUGGUCACGUGAAGCCACGUCACUGGCAAAUUCGGGUCCCCAUUUCCCCUCCCAUAAUUAGCAAAGCAGAGUGCGACCCGCCUCUCCCUCCUGGCCUUCCCUCCCCCCACCAGCGCGCCUGGCUCUGUGGCUCUUGGUCUUUUUAACCUUGUGCACACAACAAAAGUGCUGCCUUUCUCUGAUUACUGGAAGAGCCAGUAAUCUUCUCCAGAGCUCCUGGCCAUUGCCAUUUCUCUGGGGAAGGGCCCCGUCCUGUCCUCUGCUCCCUGCACUCCCUCCACCUCUUGUCUUUGAGGUCGCUACUGUGCAGUCCUGAAAAUAUCUGGAAAUGGGGAUGGGGGAGGGGUGUGAAAAACCGGAAGGAUUCUGUUACUUUCUUGCUAAUGCUCUUCUGUUCCUUUAUUUGUUACACAGAUAUCCAUUCUUUUUAUGGAAAGUAUGUUAAAACUAUUUUCAUUUAAGAAAAAUUUCACUCUUUAUAAAAACGUUUCUCACUGCAUAGAGUUUUAGACAUGCCACUCAAAGCCAUCUUGUCUUCCACAUCUUGUCACUCGACAAUGCCUUGAUUUAGCUAAUCACUUACCUGAGAAUUUGCAAACCUGCUAAUAUGCCAUAAUUAGAGAGGCUUCAUUUGGAGGUGCAAGAGUAGCUCAAUGCUAUUCAUUUAUUCAACACACUGACUGAGCACCUACUACAUGCCAUCCAUUAUUUUCCAUACAGUGGUUACAGCAAUGAAAAAAACAGACCUUAAUCCCCGAUUUCCUGUCCCUUAUAUUCUGAUGAGAGAUGAGCAAUAAAUAAAAUGAACAAAAUAUGUACUGUAUUGCU